GGUCACAUAUUUGUAUGUCUUCAUGUUCAUUAAAAUAAUUCUUUUUUUCUUUUAAUGGGUUUUAU
rnacentral:ribozyme from 1 species